UUAGAUAGACAGAGUGUGGAACUGUUCCGGCAAGGGACAGUCAUGGAUGACAUGCAAGCCAUGAUGCAACGUCUGAUGUUGCAUUUCCCGCACGAUCCUCCACCUCCUCCACAACAGUGAUCACUGUAAGUCCCCUUUGUGUUUGAAUUUAAACAUUGAGGUCAAUGUUUAGUUCAAGUGUGGGGGGGUUUUUCUCCUUUCAUGUUUUUAUUCUCUUUCAAUUUGUUUUGUUUUUGUUAUGUUAUCGUUAUAUUAGUAUGUUUGUUUGUUUUGUUUGUUUUCUUUUCUUUUGGACCUACUGUGUGUACAGAGUGAUGA
rnacentral:lncRNA from 1 species